rnacentral:rRNA from 1 species
GACGAAGGGGGCUAGCGUUGUUCGGAAUUACUGGGCGUAAAGCGCGUGUAGGCGGUUGUCAUAGUCAGGUGUGAAAGCCUUGAGCUUAACUCAAGAAAUGCACUUGAUACUGGGCGACUAGAGGACCGGAGAGGACAGUGGAAUUCCCAGUGUAGUGGUGAAAUACGUAGAGAUUGGGAAGAACACCAGUGGCGAAGGCGGCUAUCUGGACGGUUUCUGACGCUAAGACGCGAAAGCGUGGGGAGCAAACAGG